AUACUUGAGGAGGUUACAUGU
rnacentral:siRNA from 1 species